AUUGAACGCUGGCGGCAGGCCUAACACACGCAAGUCGAGCGAGCGGCGGACGGGCGAGUAAUGUAUGGGGACUGCCCGAUAGAGGGGGAUAACUACUGGAAACGGUGGCUAAUACCGCAUACUAUCGGAUAACCCAUAUGUGAUUAGCUAGUAGGUGGGGUAAAGGCUCACCUAGGCGACGAUGUCUAGCUGGUCUGAGAGGUUGAUCAGCCACACUGGGACUGAGACACAGCCCAGACUCCUACGGAGGCAGCAGGGGUGAAUAUUGAGCAAGGGGCGCAUGCCUGAUGCAGCCAUGCCGCGUGUAUGAAGAAGACCUUAAGGUUGUAAAGUACUUUCAGCAGGGGGACGUUACCCGCAGAAGAAGCACCGGCUAACUCCGUGCCAGCAGCCGCGGUAAUAC
rnacentral:rRNA from 1 species